rnacentral:tRNA from 1 species
GGCCGGUUAGCUCAGCUGGUCAGAGCGUGGUGCUAAUAACGCCAAGGUCGCGGGUUCGACCCCCGUACGGGCCA